UAAUGCACUCUGUUUACAGCGCGAUUUUGGCACAAGCCACCAUAGCGUAGCGAAAGCAGACGCAGGCGCAUAGUUGCCCAAACAGUCGUUGACGUCAGGAGCGGUGGGCGGGCUUGAUUGUGCGCUUCCGCUAGGAAGAGGACUGUGAUCAUGGACGAAUUCGCUCUGGGCUGAUCGGCAGGCUCAACAUGGGAGCUUCUAGGGGCCUCCCGUAAGCGCACCUUGUUUUCCUCUGUCCACACGGCCAUACCAGGAAAGGUGAACAAGGACAGUAAUGGGCGAGCACAUACCGGUGCUUCUAGUCACGGCCAACGUAGGAUCCAUCUUUGAAGAGCCUCGAACGCUUUUGCCGGGAUGGAUAGGCGAGUUCCUUCGGACGGUGAAGCAGUAUCAGCCCAGUUUUUUGGCUCUACAUUGUCAAGAAGUAGGUGGGAAAAACUACGAAAGGACCAUGCCCCACGUUUCCGACUUCAUCAGAACUCUCAUGGGCAGCGAGGAGCUCUCAAGUUACACAGCAGUCCAAGUGUUCUUGGACGAAGACUUCUCCUGUGUAGAAAAAUUUACGGCCUUGGGCAACUUGUACUUUGUCCAUCAGUCAUUGAGAAACCCCCAGAUCUGGGAUUUUCAAGAGUGCUGCUUUCGACCAGUCAUGGCAAAGGAGAUUCAUUCUGGAAACAUAGAGAAGGUGUUCACCAAAGAAAAGGUUAAGUUUCCCCAGGAACUGUUUCCAGAGUGCAAGUGGUCAAGAAAAGGCUUUAUGCGAACAAGGUGGAGCUUGCAAGGCACAAUAUUUGACCUAGUCAAUAUCCAUCUUUUCCAUGAUGAAUCAAACUUCAUAGCCAUGGAAUGUUUCCCGUCUUCUUACACAAAAAAUAGACAAGGAGCACUUGACUACACUCUGAACAGGAUCCAGAAUGACAAGUAUGAAAAUGUUCCAUUCUUCAUCUUUGGAGACUUCAAUUUUAGACUUGACACGCAGGCCGUCAUAGAGAAAGUUACUGAUAAGGCCCCUCCAGUUCAAGUGAAAAGUGCCAAAAAUGGAGAUGUCACAAAAGUUCUCUUCAGGGAUCCUAAAGAUGAGAAUAAGGUGGUGCUUACAGUGGAAAGAAAAGUGUUCUCUCUUCAAGACCAUGAGGAGGCUUUCUACCGAAAUGAUGGAAAAUGGCUCCAAGAGCAUGACAAAGAACCGAGCCUGUUCCAGGACCGUCUUUUUGAAUUUGACAUUGCCUUCCCGCCAAGCUAUCCAUUCAAAGAGGAGUCCUCGGGUCCCCGCAGUUACAUGCGGACACGCUGUCCUGCCUGGUGUGACCGCAUUUUGCUCAGCAAAUCGGCCAAGACCCUGGUGUACACGGGCCCUGACGAAGGUGGCAAGGCAUCUGUGGUGUACCACAUAAUGGGGCCGAAUGUGUGCAUGGGCGACCACAAGCCUGUGGUGCUGUGGUUCCGCAUGGUCCCUGCUGCAGCAUUGUGUUUGCAUUAAACGUGGUAGUCGGAGUUUUUCGUCGUGUCUAGGUGCAUGAGGCCUCUAGUCAACAACCCAGUCAGAACAGGUUUGACAUGCCCUUUUGUGUUGACAAUAGCCAUUGGGGUUACCUGCAGCAUAUGCUUAGGCAUGCUUUGUCAUCAAGAUGCGCUUAGGGAUCACAACAUUGUGAGUUGUCUUGCAGAAAGAUGUGACCUUGGAAUGGAGCUUUACAUUGGCAUUGUAAGGUGCUGAAUUAUGUUAGCCACAGUACGAAGAGUUAUCUAAAGAGUUAUGUGUAAUACCAUUAAGGAAAGAUUUUGACAGAAGCAUCCUAAUUUUCUAACAUUACCAUUUUACCCUUCUUACAAGGAAGUGCUACAUUUGACAAGUUAGCACUACUUUAAAAAAACCCAUGCGUGUCUGGUUUGCCUGCGACUACAGUCAAGUGAUGUUUUAACAGUGGAGUUUUUCAGCUUUUAGUUCCGCCGUGGAGCAUUACCAGAAAACUCAGCCCAGCUGUGCGCCGCCUCACGUAGCCUAGUAACCACCUGCGAGAGCACCGAGCCAUGUAACCUCCUUGCACCCCACAUGUGUGGGGUGGAGUUGUGAGGUCACAGGCAAGUAAAAGAUUGGAACUGCUGGCACAACGACACCUCUCGCCUCUGUACUCCGUGCAUACGUGCUGCCAUGGGAAGACCAAAGAAAGUCUGAACGCGGGAAAAAGAAGUGGCUUACCAGAAAGAGCACCGUACGGCCAAACGAGAAGCGAUGUGUCGAUGCAAAGCUAAUCUGGAACACCGCGCCAAAGCUGCGGCUGAGAAGAGGCAAUGCUGAGUCGAGGAUCCCGAGUUUCAGUCCAGGGAACGCGAGAGUUGGCGCCGGAACGCUUGACAUCGCCGAGAAAGUGAUCCCGGCCUGCGACUGCUUGAAAACUUAUAGCGUCAAGCCCGCUGAGAGAACAACUUAGCAAAACCUAGCAUAACCUCGCAAAACUUAGAAACAACUUAGCCAAUCCUACCAUAACCUCGCAAAACCUACAAACAACUUAGGCAAGCCAUGUAAAAGCUAGGUGAUCACAAGCUCCACUGUUGACUCCAGCCUUGCACCAGUAGUGCAAGCUGCGCACAUUUUUUAUCUACCAUUGGCGUUCCACUUCAUCAUUGCUGCUGCCAAGUCAUAGCUCUGCAGGGUUUUUAUAGCUCCAACAGUGGGCAGUAAACUCCUCUCAUUGUUGCUGCGUUUUUUUUUCUCACCUCAACUAUUUUAUAGCUUUAGAUGCCUUGAUCAGCACUGCUUUUUUUUUUUUUCGUACUUUUACAUAUUAUAAUUGUAUUUUACAGUGUCAGCUAUUAAGAGCUCAUCCAUGGAUCUUGUUUGUACAUGCAAAUUUCAAUUAUUGCUCCAGGCAGACAUGAAGACAUUUUUAUGUGAAACUUGGCAGGAACAGAGUAUACCUUGUUAAGAUGCUGGUGAGAGCCCUAAAGAAUGUGUGGUGAAAUCCUAAAGAACCGUAAUUAAUUACCAAAGUGUCAAUAAACAAUGGUUGCUGGAGCCUACAGGCUAUUUUCAAAAAUAUUGUUUCAGGUAGAGUACAAUAUGUAUCAGGAUGAAACUUUCCAGGUACCAUGUUGACUAAAAAGACAUUUUCUCCUAAAAGGCAGCAUACAAAAUGGAGUAUGCGCUAAAAGCUAAGAAAAAGAUGACAAAUAUGCACAUUUGAUUGCCCAUAUCGUGCCGUGUGGUUGCAAGGCACAAUUUUGUGAGACCACCAUCUUGGCCAAGUCUGCAAACCACACAACUUGAGUGUCUUUAGAAGCAUUCUUCAUCCAUAAGAAUUCAUGUAUCUGUAUAAGCAAAGCGUCUAUUCUUUUGCACAGUGCCAAACUGGACUUCUUGAACUCUAUUAUUUGAAAAAGGUAGCAGUAUUGCUAACUUUUUUUAGAUUUGUUUGUCACCUGCGCAUUGGCAAGGGGGCGUGGCAUUUGUACGUCGCUCACAUUAUAAAAUUGAAGGAUGUGUUGAUCAAAAUAAACAGUUGGUAGUAGCGCGUCUC
rnacentral:misc_RNA from 1 species